AACGUAGGGGACAAGCGUUAUCCGGAUUUACUGGGCGUAAAGCGCCCGUAGGCGGCCUGUCAAGUUGGACGUGAAAGCUCCUGGCUUAACUGGGAGAGGCCGUUCAAAACUGACAAGCUAGAGUCUGGAAGAGGAGAGCGGAAUUCCCGGUGUAGUGGUGGAAUGCGUAGAGAUCGGGAGGAACACCAGUGGCGAAAGCGGCUCUCUGGUCCAAAACUGACGCUGAGGGGCGAAAGCGUGGGGAGCGAAC
rnacentral:rRNA from 1 species